AUGACAAUACCACAUCACUAUGAACAUCACAACCAAACAAUCUUGCCCCAGCUCCAUGGCCGGUGUCACAAGAGCCAUAGCUUGAUGGCUGACGUCACAAGAGCGAUAGAUCGACGCUUGCAUCACAAGAUCCACAUCAACCAAUAUUCGGGUCAGAGAGCACAAGGAAGGGGAGCAGAGAAGGAAACCGAGAGGAUUUCUGAACUGAAGGCGAAGAAGAUGACAGAGACUCAGAGAAGCAGGUACAGUGAAACGGUUGAGAUAGUACCUCUAUAUCACCAAAACAAAAAUUCAGCAACACAUACAACAUGA
rnacentral:rRNA from 1 species